rnacentral:rRNA from 1 species
CUGCUGCCUCCCGUAGGAGUCUGGGCCGUGUCUCAGUCCCAAUGUGGCCGUCCACUCUCUCAAGCCGGCUACUGAUCGUCGCCUUGGUGAGCCGUUACCUCACCAACCAGCUAAUCAGACGCGGGUCCAUCCCAUAGCGAUAAAUCUUUGAAGAAAAGAACAUGCGCUCUCUCCUUGUUAUGCGGUAUUAGCAGCCGUUUCCAGCUGUUGUCCCCCUCUAUGGGGCAGGUUGCCCCACGCGUUA